CAGGUGAAAACCCUGUUCGCCGAAUGUCUAAGGUUUCCAUGGCUAUGGCAGUCAACCAUGGGUUAGUCGGUCCUAAGGAGAGGCCGAAAGGCGUAUCCGAUGGAUAACAGGUCAAUAUUCCUGUACCGCUAAUAUCUGUGAUGGAGAUCGUGAAUUGGGAAAGCAGGCCCCUUAAUGGUUUGGGGUGUAAGCAAUAAGUUAGUUUCUUCAGGUAAAUCCGAAGAAACGUUUCUACUUCGGUAGAUGAACACGAGUUGCGAUGCAAAGGUGACCCUCGGGAAGCCGAUCUGUUGUACUAAUUUUUCUGGAAAAACUUCUAGCGAGUCUACCUUCGGGUGGACUCAAGGAUAUUAGUGACCGUACCGCAAACCGACACUGGUGGACUGGUGUAAAUGCACCAAGGCGUACGAGUUAUGCGUCGUUAAGGAACUCGGCAAAUUAACCCCGUAAGUUCGCGAGAAGGGGGGCCUUCUACUAUGAUUUUUAAUUGUAGUAAUGAAGGCGGCACAGAAUAGGGAGGAGCGACUAGUUACCAAAACUACAGGCGCUUGCAAAUUCGUAAGAAGAUGUAUAAGUGCUGACGCCUGCCCAAUGCCAGAAGGUUAAGGAAGUUUGUUAAUCGUCUGUUAGACGCACUUCGGUGGUGGUGAAGCGGAUAACCGAAGCCCUGGUCAAUGGCGGCUGUAACUAUAACGGUCCUAAGGUAGCGUAAUACCUCGUCACUUAAUUAGUGACUUGCAUGAAAGGCGUAACGACUCUUCCGCUGUCUCGACGGCGCGCUCGGUGAAAUUGAAAUGGCUGUGAAGAUGCGGCCUACCCAUACCAGGACAAAAAGACCCCGUGGAGCUUUACUGCAGCUUUGCAUUGAAAUAAUGCUUUGAAUGAAGAGAAUAGGUGGGAGACUUUGAAGCCGUUUCGUCAGGAAUGGUGGAGUCGAAAUAUGUAAUACCACUCUUUUGACGUGUUAUUUCUAACUUUAUCCUUAAUCAGGAAUACGGACAGUGCAUGGUAGGCAGUUUGACUGGGGCGGUUGCUUGCUAAAGAGUACCGCAAGCGCACAAAGGUAUCCUCAACCCGGAUGGAAAUCGGGUGAAGAGUGCAUGAGCAUAAGGAUGCUUUACUGUGAGGGAGACAUCCCGAGCAGUUACGAAAGUAGGUUCAAGUGACCCUUUCGCAGAAUGUGGAAUCGCGAUUGUUUAACGGAGAUAAGCUACCCCGGGGAUAACAGGCUAGUGGUGCCCGAUAGUUCAUA
rnacentral:rRNA from 1 species